rnacentral:rRNA from 1 species
GAACGCUGGCGGCGUGCUUAACACAUGCAAGUCGAGCGGAAAGGCCCUUCGGGGUACUCGAGCGGCGAACGGGUGAGUAACACGUGAGCAACCUGCCCUAGGCUUUGGGAUAACCCCGGGAAACCGGGGCUAAUACCGAAUAUUACCUCCGAUCGCAUGGUUGGUGGUGGAAAGUUUUUCGGCNUGNGAUGGGCUCGCGGCCUAUCAGCUUGUUGGUGGGGUGAUGGCCUACCAAGGCGACGACGGGUAGCCGGCCUGAGAGGGCGACCGGCCACACUGGGACUGAGACACGGCCCAGACUCCUACGGGAGGCAGCAGUGGGGAAUAUUGCACAAUGGGCGGAAGCCUGAUGCAGCGACGCCGCGUGAGGGAUGACGGCCUUCGGGUUGUAAACCUCUUUCAGCAGGGACGAAGCGUAAGUGACGGUACCUGCAGAAGAAGCGCCGGCCAACUACGUGCCAGCAGCCGCGGUAAGACGUAGGGCGCGAGCGUUGUCCGGAUUUAUUGGGCGUAAAGAGCUCGUAGGCGGC